rnacentral:misc_RNA from 1 species
AGGCGUAACCGAACUGUCAGAGGGUGACAAUAAAGGGAGGGGCAUCCCUCCUCGGUCCAGCAACCGACCGGUAGACAUAAACCUUCUCAGCAUGUUGGUCAUCAUUCUCAUUCUCCUUGAUAACCUCCACAUUCAACCUCGGCAUCUCCCUGGCCAAAAGCUCACACGCAUUCAUCGUUACAUUGCAAGCUGACAUCCAGAGUGACCUCAUGGAUUCAUACCGAUCAAGCCCCGACAGUAACGCUGCAUUCCCGAACGGACAGUCCCUUACUUCCAGUUUG